rnacentral:rRNA from 1 species
GACGAACGCUGGCGGCAGGCCUAACACAUGCAAGUCGAACGGUAGCACAGAGAGCUUGCUCUCGGGUGACGAGUGGCGGACGGGUGAGUAAUGUCUGGGAAACUGCCCGAUGGAGGGGGAUAACUACUGGAAACGGUAGCUAAUACCGCAUAACGUCGCAAGACCAAAGAGGGGGACCUUCGGGCCUCUUGCCAUCGGAUGUGCCCAGAUGGGAUUAGCUUGUAGGUGAGGUAACGGCUCACCUAGGCGACGAUCCCUAGCUGGUCUGAGAGGAUGACCA